rnacentral:rRNA from 1 species
CCUACGGGAGGCAGCAGUGGGGAAUAUUGCACAAUGGGGGGAACCCUGAUGCAGCGACGCCGCGUGAGUGAAGAAGUAUUUCGGUAUGUAAAGCUCUAUCAGCAGGGAAGAAAAUGACGGUACCUGACUAAGAAGCCCCGGCUAACUACGUGCCAGCAGCCGCGGUAAUACGUAGGGGGCAAGCGUUAUCCGGAUUUACUGGGGGUAAAGGGAGCGUAGACGGUUAUGCAAGUCUGAAGUGAAAGCCAAAGGCUCAACCAUGGGACUGCUUUGGAAACUGUAAAACUGGAGUGCAGGAGAGGUAAGCGGAAUUCCUAGUGUAGCGGUGAAAUGCGUAGAUAUUAGGAGGAACACCAGUGGCGAAGGCGGCUUACUGGACUGUAACUGACGCUGAGGCACGAAAGCGUGGGUAUCGAACAGGAUUAGAUACCCUUGUAGUC